AUUGAACGCUGGCGGCAUGCUUUACACAUGCAAGUCGAACGGCAGCGCGGGCUUCGGCCUGGCGGCGAGUGGCGAACGGGUGAGUAAUGCAUCGGAACGUGCCCAGUAGUGGGGGAUAGCCCGGCGAAAGCCGGAUUAAUACCGCAUACGACCUGAGGGUGAAAGCGGGGGACCGAAAGGCCUCGCGCUAUUGGACCGGCCGAUGUCGGAUUAGCUAGUUGGUGGGGUAAAGGCUUACCAAGGCGACGAUCCGUAGCUGGUCUGAGAGGACGACCAGCCACACUGGGACUGAGACACGGCCCAGACUCCUACGGGAGGCAGCAGUGGGGAAUUUUGGACAAUGGGGGCAACCCUGAUCCAGCCAUGCCGCGUGCGGGAAGAAGGCCUUCGGGUUGUAAACCGCUUUUGUUCGGGAAGAAAACCUCUGGGCUAAUACCCCGGGGGGAUGACGGUACCGGAAGAAUAAGCACCGGCUAACUACGUG
rnacentral:rRNA from 1 species